GAGUUAAACGGCUUGGCGCGGUUCCAUUUGGAGCGAUCGUGAAUGGCCACCUUAACCUACCAAAAAAAUCUUUUGAGACCACAAGAGUAGAACAGUGGGAAACAGUGUGGUCUGCAACAACCGAUGGCACCAUCACAAAAAGAUUUCUCCCUAAUAUAAGAGGCGUUUACGAUGACCCAGACUGCCCCUGCGGAGGUGGCGAACAAACAUGGCAACACAUCAUUUACCAAAGCAAAACUUUUGAUGAGAUCAUGCUACAUUUAGGAACAUGGAAUAGAAGAAAGACUUUUUCACAAUCGCACCUGGUUUGUGGAGUGUCGCAAUCUAAAGAUCGCUAUUCAAUUCAGAAUUUUUGUCAUGGCAUAAAAUGUGUUAUAGAUGGAAAUGAUGAAAUAUACAAGUGUGAAACAUA